rnacentral:rRNA from 1 species
ACGAACGCUGGCGGCGUGGAUAAGACAUGCAAGUCGAACGAGAGAAUUGCUAGCUUGCUAAUAAUUCUCUAGUGGCGCACGGGUGAGUAACACGUGAGUAACCUGCCCCCGAGAGCGGGAUAGCCCUGGGAAACUGGGAUUAAUACCGCAUAGUAUCGAAAGAUUAAAGCAGCAAUGCGCUUGGGGAUGGGCUCGCGGCCUAUUAGUUAGUUGGUGAGGUAACGGCUCACCAAGGCGAUGACGGGUAGCCGGUCUGAGAGGAUGUCCGGCCACACUGGAACUGAGACACGGUCCAGACACCUACGGGUGGCAGCAGUCGAGAAUCAUUCACAAUGGGGGAAACCCUGAUGGUGCGACGCCGCGUGGGGGAAUGAAGGUCUUCGGAUUGUAAACCCCUGUCAUGUGGGAGCAAAUUAAAAAGAUAGUACCACAAGAGGAAGAGACGGCUAACUCUGUGCCAGCAGCCGCGGUAAUACAGAGGUCUCAAGCGUUGUUCGGAAUCACUGGGCGUAAAGCGUGCGUAGGCUGUUUCGUAAGUCGUGUGUGAAAGGCGCGGGCUCAACCCGCGGACGGCACAUGAUACUGCGAGACUAGAGUAAUGGAGGGGGAACCGGAAUUCUCGGUGUAGCAGUGAAAUGCGUAGAUAUCGAGAGGAACACUCGUGGCGAAGGCGGGUUCCUGGACAUUAACUGACGCUGAGGCACGAAGGCCAGGGGAGCGAAAGGGAUUAGAUACCCCUGUAGUCCUGGCAUUAAACGGUGCACGCUUGGUGUGCGGGGAAUCGACCCCCUGCGUGCCGGAGCUAACGCGUUAAGCGUGCCGCCUGGGGAGUACGGUCGCAAGAUUAAAACUCAAAGAAAUUGACGGGGACCCGCACAAGCGGUGGAGUAUGUGGCUUAAUUCGAUGCAACGCGAAGAACCUUACCUGGGCUUGACAUGUAAUGAACAACAUGUGAAAGCAUGCGACUCUUCGGAGGCGUUACACAGGUGCUGCAUGGCCGUCGUCAGCUCGUGUCGUGAGAUGUUUGGUUAAGUCCAGCAACGAGCGCAACCCCUGUUGCCAGUUACCAGCACGUGAAGGUGGGGACUCUGGCGAGACUGCCCAGAUCAACUGGGAGGAAGGUGGGGACGACGUCAGGUCAGUAUGGCCCUUAUGCCCAGGGCUGCACACGUACUACAAUGCCCAGUACAGAGGGGGCCGAAGCCGCGAGGCGGAGGAAAUCCUAAAAACUGGGCCCAGUUCGGACUGUAGGCUGCAACCCGCCUACACGAAGCCGGAAUCGCUAGUAAUGGCGCAUCAGCUACGGCGCCGUGAAUACGUUCCCGGGUCUUGUACACACCGCCCGUCACAUCAUGGAAGCCGGUCGCACCCGAAGUAUCUGAAGCCAACCGCAAGGAGGCAGGGUCCUAAGGUGAGACUGGUAACUGGGAUG